GACUUCCGCCCGGGACCGGAAGGGCACCCGUGGCCAUGGGAACGGGCGGGCGCAGCGGUCCGCGGCCGGCUAAGGGCGCUGGGGGCGCCGUCUUGGGCCCCUGCCGGUACCGCUGCAUCGAGUGCAACGAGGAGGCGCGGGAGCUGUACCGGGACUACCGCCACGGMGUUCUGAAGAUCACCAUCUGCAAAUCCUGCCAAAAACCUGUAGACAAAUACAUUGAGUAUGAUCCUGUUAUCAUCUUGAUCAAUGCUAUUUUGUGCAAAGCCCAGGCCUACAGACAUAUACUUUUCAAUACCAAAAUAAAUAUCCAUGGAAAACUCUGCAUGUUUUGCUUGCUUUGYGAAGCAUACCUGAGGUGGUGGCAGCUUCAAGAUUCAACCCAGAACACUGCUCCUGAUGACUUGAUCAGAUACGCCAAAGAAUGGGACUUCUAUCGGAUGUUUGCCAUUGCUUCUUUAGAACAGACUGCCUUUUUCAUUGGCAUUUUUACUUUCCUGUGGGCAGAACGACCCAGGACAACAAAGAGAAAGCCCCACUUUAUUUUGUUGCUUAAAGCGCUGCUGUUGUCAAGCUACGGGAAGCUCCUGCUGAUCCCGGCUGUCAUCUGGGAGCAUGACUACACUCCUCUGUGCCUCAAGCUCAUCAAAGUGUUUGUGCUGACAUCAAACUUCCAGGCGGUCAGAGUGGCCCUGAGCAUCAACCGGAAGCUGUCCCUGCUGGCCAUCCUGAGUGGCUUACUGCUGGAGAGCUCCAUGGUGUGCCUCUUCCAGAGGCUGGAGUGGGACGUCAGCAGCGACUGCGCCAUCUAUAAGUCCCAGGACUUCUGAAGGUCUCCUGCCCUGAGUGCCUGCUCUGCCCUCGGUCCUCUUCCUGUCUCUUAUGUGCACCUCUGUGCAUGUUCCUUCCAGGGCACCCUGCCAGCUCUUCCUCUUGCCAGGUCUGCUCUCCAGCGCUGCUGCUGCCCCAGGAGCCACGCCGGGCAACUGCACUCCUGCUCACUGGUGCCUGCCCACCCGCGGCAGCUGUGUUCCCAGGAUUGCCUGGACCAACUCAAUGCUGGCAUUUUGUCCCAUUUCACAAGUGUUUCUACUUGUCACUGUCAGUAUGAUUCACAGUUGGGGAAGCCCUGUCCUGCGGUACGUCAUCUCCCAUCUGCACCCAGGCUCCUGCUGCCCUGCCCUCUCUCAGGGUGCUCUGGGAGGCCCUGUGGCAGCCUCUCCCGGACUGUCAGCCGCACGUGCCUUUCUUCUGCCAUCUGUGGAAAGCAGGACCGAAGCCAAGCUCUGUCCUGAUGAACAAGUGAAGCAAAGAUAAGAGGCGGAGAUGUGGAGUAGAAGCCCUCGUGCCCCAGCCCGCCGGCCAAAAGGUCCACUCCUGAGCCCCACACAGGGCAAGGUUUCAUCCCUUGGAGUGGUCAUGUCUUUUCAAUUGAAAGUUAAGUUACUGGCUUAAAAUGAUGAUAUUUUGUGUUCUUGAAACAGCAGAAACACUUUCCUCUUAAUAAAAGUCUUUCAACUGAA